rnacentral:rRNA from 1 species
UACGUAGGGUGCGAGCGUUGUCCGGAAUUAUUGGGCGUAAAGGGCUCGUAGGCGGUUCGUCACGUCGGGAGUGAAAACUCGGAGCUUAACUCCGAGCCUGCUUCCGAUACGGGCAGACUAGAGGUAGGCAGGGGAGAGCGGAACUCCUGGUGUAGCGGUGGAAUGCGCAGAGUAUCAGGAGGAACACCGGUGGCGAAGGCGGGUCUCUGGGCCGAUACUGACGCUGAGGAGCGAAAGCGUGGGGAGCGAACAGG